rnacentral:piRNA from 1 species
UCUGGGAGAUUCCCUACAAGAUGCCCGUGU